AUACUUACCUGGCAGGUGAGACACCAUGACCAGGCAGGUGGUUUUCCCAGGGCGAGGCUCAUCCCCUGCACUCUGGGUGUGCUGACCCCUGCCAUUUCCUCAGAUGUGGGAAACUCGACUGCAUCAUUUGUGGUAGUGGGGGAUUGUGUUCACAGAGAUAUGAU
rnacentral:snRNA from 1 species